UGGAUUAGCGAAAAAAACUUAAAUUCCUCGCUAAAAUUGGUGCUAAAUAUUAGUGCCUUUAUUUUAGCUACAAAAUUAGCGAUGAAUGCUGGGCGACAAAAAAUAUUGAAACUUAGCGACGGAUUUAACAUCCAAUAAUCCGUCGUAGAAUUCAAUUUACUUAUCAAGGCAUUCGAAAGUUAUCUGCGACAAAAUAUUCCGUCGCUAAUUUCCUAAAAUAUAAUUUCAUUAAUUACUAUUAGAGACAGAAUUUCGGUCCGUCGCUUUUCCAUCGUUAAAUUUCCGUCCCCAAAAUUAAAUUACCCUAGGUAAAAGACCUUCCUAACCAUUAGGGCACAAACACCCUAAUUUCUCCAUUGUUCUUCCUAUUUCUUCUCUUCCUCUUCUUCGAAGGCACAAACACUGAGACUUCAGCACCUCCACUUUUUCAGUCGACGGUCCUCAACAAAGGCUGAGACCUCAGUAGCGUAGGUUUUCAGUCGAGGGUUUCCUAUUUUUGCAAAGGGGUUUUGUUCUCAGAGAUCUAUGAAAUUCGAAGUCAUGUGUUUGUAGGAUUCUGAAACUCGAAAUUGUGCGUUGAUUUUAGGGAUUGCAUGUCCUUGAUAAGAGACUAUACUACUCAGGUUAAGUUGGAGCAGCCCAUUGCAGGCCAAGAAAAGGAGCAAUUGGAAAUAUGCCUCGAGGUAGAGGUCGAGGUAGCGCAUGCCGUGUAGGUAAAUCUUCUGUUAGGGGUAAUUUUUCUACUCGUGAAAAUAUGCUUGUUGUUCCCAUUCCCACAGUCAAUCCUCAACAAGGUGGUAUGAGUUCCUCAGGUGGACCGGAUCAC